UACGAAGGGUGCAAACGUUGCUCGGAAUCAUUGGGCGUAAAGCGCACGUAGGCGGCCUCAUAAGUCGGAUGUGAAAUCCCUCGGCUCAACCGAGGACGUGCAUACGAAACUGCGAGGCUCGAGUAUGGAAGAGGGUCGCGGAAUUCCCGGUGUAGAGGUGAAAUUCGUAGAUAGUCGGAGGAACACCAGUGGCGAAGGCGGCGACCUGGGCCAAUACUGACGCUGAGGUGCGGAAAGCGUGGGGAGCCAAACAGGG
rnacentral:rRNA from 1 species